UCAUGUAACGUUUGAGAAAUGGACAUUCCAACUGGGCCACAUAAGGCUCGCAAAAUAAAAAACCAGCGUCUCGUGAUUUCUGUUUUGAACAGGAAGAUGCAAGCACCGCCCUUGAACCGAGGGCCAACGAAUACAGCAAAAGACAAAAACUCUGGCCGUCGGAGACAGAAGAGGAUGGCAGCGGACUGGUCCGGGGUUGGCAGGACAGAUGAAUUUUGAAAACGGAAGAAGACCUCACGCAAUGCAAGGUCCGGCGGCGCAGGAAGAGAGGGAGCACAUCACUUCGUUCAGGCCGGGCGAUAAGCGAGAAGCUUCAUUGAAACUCGACGGCAAGAUGCCUUCAACAGGGGCGACAAUGGAAGAAUAUGCUGUGGGCAUCGCAGCAAGCAUUUUAGAAGAACUGAUGGCGACAGAUACCAACCGGCGAAGACCUCUUCAAUGUCAGCAAGUUCGGGCAUCAAGCAACAACGGUGAUGCAGGCUACGACGGCGCUGCGGGCGGAAACAGAGGCGCAGGUGACGACGGCAUGGAAGGCAAGUACCACGACACAGGCGCGGGCGAGGUUGCGGCCGACGAUAGUGACGCAGGCGACGUCGACGUGGAAGGCGAAGGCAACGAAGUGGACGACGGCAGCGUGAAUCACAUGCUUCAUAGACAAAUCCGUGUAAUUUGAAAUAAAAAAUUCGGGCCGGGUUGGAAUUGAAGCUCCGUUUCUCUUUAGAUCUAGACCGGCUUGGCGGUUUGGAUCGUGACAAAAAAAAAAAGCUUUAAUUAAGACUAUUAAACUGUCAUAGGUCUCUUGAAAGCGCCGGGUUGAUGAUGGCUUCCCAGCCUAUUUUUUUUCAAGAAUACUUUAAUAAUUAAAUACUAUUAAACUGUCAUAGGUGUAAAGAGUGCCAGGAAACUAUGGAGCACGUUUUACGUGACUGUCCUGCAGUUUCAACCAUCUGGAACCGUUUAAGUGUAAAGAGUGUGACACCUGGUAUAAAUCACCAUCAGUUACAAGGUGUAAAGAGUGUGACACCUAGUAUAAAUCACCAUCAGAGGAUAGGAUACUUCCCCUAAGACAAAAGCAUCCAUAUGAAUCUGAACCCCUUUUCUUCUGUGUCUUUUUUACGAGACAAUGAUACAUGUCAACCUAAAAAGAAAACCGUGACGACCUUGAAUGUUGCAAUAGUUUGGAAGUUAAUUAUUUUCUUUUCUAUUCUCUUUUCUAUUCAAAUUAUUAGUCAAAUCAUUGUCAAUGGCUCUCACCAAGUAUUCCUCUUUGAAUAGUUGCUUCAAAGAGAAUUCAAUGGAGGUCAUAUUCAAAGGUUCACACAACAUUGGAGUUGCCAUGGCUACUCCAAAUGGUCUAGUUGUACCAAAUAUAAAGAAUGUCCAAUCUCUUUCAAUCAUCCAGUUAGCAGGAAAAAAGAAGUCUUCGUUAGAUUGAAAACCUCUCCCAAAUGGAUGGGUUAAAGUUAAUAAUGAUGGUGCCUCCAAGGGAACCCGGGUAGUAGAGGUCUAAUUCGAGAUGAGAGUGGAAGAUGGCUUGCAUAACAUAAGUACGUGUAUCAAAACAUUGGAUUUCCGUUUGAAUUUUAAAUUUCUAAUUUCUUUGUGAGUGUGUAUAAAUCUUUCUCAUCUCAUAAGAAUUUGUUAGAAAUGCAUAGCUCAAAAAAAAAUUCUCUCAUCAAAAUCUUAUUCAUUCAUCAAGAUCUUAUUAAUCUUUUUCAUUAUCAUCAUGGACGGUUUUUCAAUGGUUAGACUUAGUAGAAAUAAUUUGACUCCAAUACAUAAGUGGAAGAAAUACAAUUUUUUUUCUUUUCAAUGCAAAGAACUCUAUCAAUCUCUUAAAUUCAAUUCAACAACUUUAUUUUUGCCUCAGAUAUUGAAAAACUCUUUGGUUAGUUCCUGGCCUUAUUUGUUGGCUUAUUCUAAUGAUAGAUUCAACUCUUAGUCUUAUUAUUUAGUGUUCAAUAUCUCUUCCUAGCUAAUUAUAUAUCAGAUCUCUCUUAUUGGCAUGUUUUUUUUGCUAACUUUUCUUUUCGCAACAGUAUUUGCUGAAUCAACACAGUUGAUUAUGUUGGUAGAAUAAGAAAUUUUUUUGUCUCAUAGUAAAGUAACUGUUGGAAUCGCAACUAGUUACAAGGUUUGAGUGCUAAGAUUUAUACUAAUGUUGUUGAUGUUUUUCCACCAUUAAAUGCUCCACCCUUAUUCUUUUGUGGUGAAAAAACAUCAACAACAUUAAUAUAAACCACUCAAAUUUUGGCAACAAGUUGCUAUUUUAAUAGUUACUUUAACUAUGAGACAAAAAAAAUUUUCUUAUUGUAACAACAUAAUAAAUUAUGUUGAUCCAACAAAUACUGUUGCCAGAAGAAAAGUUAGCAAAAAAACAUGCUAAUAAGAGAGAUUUGAAAUAUAGUUAAUUAGGAAGAGAUAUUAAACACCAUAAUCAAUGAGACUAAGAGUUGAAUCUAUCAUUAAGACAAGCCAAGAAAUAAGGCCAAAGAACCAACUAAAGAGUUUUUCAGCAUCUGAGACAAAAAUAAGGUGGUUGAGUUAGAUUUGGAAGAUUGAUAGAAGUUCUUUGAAUACGCUGAAAAAUUUGUAUUUGUUCCACUUAUAGAUUGGAGCCAAAUUAUUACUAUUAAGCUUAACCAUUGAAGAGUCGUUGACGAUGAUAAUGAAAAAAAAUUAAUAGGAUUUUAACGAAAAAAUAAGAUUUUGAUGAGAGAUUUUUUUUAAUUUUUUGUGCUAUGCACUUCUAAUAAGUUUUUAUGAAAUUAGAAAGAUUUAUAUACACUCACAAAGAGAUUAGAAAUUUAGAGUUCAAAUAGAAAUUCAAAGUUGAAAUAGAAAUUAGGCGAUUGACAAUGUACAUGAUGUAUGAAAAAAUUAAGCAAUUCAAACGAAAAUUCUUGAAUUGGGCCUAAAAUUAGGCAAUGUACAAUUGUACAUAAUG